GCAGGUUUUCCUUCCCUGUGCUUGUUCUGCAGACCCUCAAGAGGCACAUGUAAUCUAGGGGAUGAUUCAUGCCGAGUCUCCUUUUUGGGUAUUUUCAGUACCCAUUUGCUUAUAAGAGUUGAAAUCUCUGGCUAUUAAAGUCCUAAGUGAUUUUAUCUGACCCAACAUUCCCUAAAUUUAUGACCAUGGAAUUUGCUGAUAUAUCCUUUAGUGCCAAGUCUAUAUUAGAAAAAAAAAAAACUUUGGGAAAAUCUGUGUUAGGAGUGGAACCCUGCAAUAUAGGGCACGUUUAAUCUUGGCUUCUUCUUUUAAAAGCUGAAAGACUUGUGCUGGGAGACAGUCUCACAUUCUGUAUUUUUAAGACUAGUCUCUUUCCUGCCUUCCUCUGCUAACAUUCCUAAAUAGGAAAGUGCCAUGUAGGAGAAGGCCAGGAUGUAAGGGGCAUCUGAAUUAGGCAUCUGUGUAUACAUUCUGCCUCCAAAACAAUUCCCGACUUCUUUUUUAGAAGCAGGACUCUGAGACAAGGACUUUAAGUGCAAUAACUUAUUUGGGAAGUGUUCCUAGGAAAUACUCCUGGAGGAAUGAGAAAGUGAUCCAGGGAAGAUAAGGCAGCCAGUAUAUAAUGUGCAUUCAAAUAAUUCAACAUGCGAAUGGGCAACUGAAGUUUAUUCCCUCUGGGAAGCUCCAGGAGGCAGCGCGGAAUAUACACCUCAAGUCACUCCGGCACAGCGGCAAGAGACCCGGGACGUAGUACGCCAGCUCCUGACAGUGAGGACAGUAGGGCUCAGUGAGGACAAACAACAUGAUUAUGGCAACCUGUGGACAGAAAGAACUGCGCUUUAGAGACCUAACUACUCAUGGCUCUUGGCCCUACAGCAGGGUGUUGUCUCUUCAAAUAUUUGACUAUAUCCAAAUCUUGUUGGCACCUUCAUGUACUAGACUCUUCUUCUGGGACAGAGGAACCCAUGAUUUGCCUUCAUCAAAGGUAACAAAAUAGUAACUAUGAGUCAGGGGAGAAUAGAAUGAAAAGAAUACCUCAAGGAGAAUAUUCCAGCUUCUCAUCUGCUGUCAGUAUUGGCUCCUGAAUAAGCUCAAGGGAAAUUUCUGUCUGUUCUGCACACCCUCCCACAGUCACAGAACAUUCUAACGGACACUUAUUUUAUGAAAAUUGUUUGUUGCUCUGCAUCUCUUAUAAUUACCUUAUGUAUUUAAGCAAUUAGCAAUCAGAACUCACAUCUUAUUGGUACCCAAGCAAAUGUGAAAUGUAAAAAUGCAAAUUGUAGAGAAUGAAAAUAGAUUUUAGGUUGUUUGCACAUAUGUUGAUUUCCAUGAACAAUUAAAACUUGCCAUAUUUGUAAUGAUUUUUAAAGGUGCCAAAGUAAAUAGAAUAAUUAUAUUAUCUAUGUGUGAAUUUAGUAAAAAGAGCAAGAAAAUUGUCAUUCUGAAUUUGAAAAGAGAAGCUAAUUUUGUCUUUAAUGUAGCUGAAAACAAGGGACACUAUGGAGUGAAUUUAAAUACACAUUUAACUGUAAAAAUCUUAACAUUCUCAUAGGUCAUAUGGCCAUCUUAAAAUGCCCUUUACAAAUUGAAGUUGUGGAAAAGGAAGUGGAAAGAGAUUAAAAUUAACAAGAGACUUGAACUUGAGGGUUAGUCUGAGAUUAAAACAGUAGCCAUGGACCAAGCAGUGGAAAGUGAAAUAGAACAUGAGAAUUUUCCCCAUUUUCUUUUGAGACUACAGUAUAUCAAAAGUCAGGAAAUACACUUUUUUUGUGACCAGCUGUGAAUGUCAAUUUAGACAAGUCACAUUAGCUCUCUGGUGAAAUUACUAUUUUAUAGAGCUACACCUCAGUAACUUUAGGAAGACAGUGGAAAUAUCCAAACAGUACUGACACCACAGAUUGCAGCCUUAUGGAAAGUUAAAUAGAUUCUGAAAGUAGAUGUCCAUUUUUCA
ensembl:lncRNA